AAAUCGGGUACGUUUUUUAUCCGGAUGUGAAAAAACUGCCCCCUACCCUAGAGAGGUUAAAUGUCACAUCCCUGCUACUAGGGGCACGAAGUUGGCAAAGGAUUCCGAAGGGCGCAGUGGAGCCCUCGAUGACUCGACAACUAGCGUUUGAGAUUGACUUGUAAACGCUAUCGAGUGGUCAGAGUAAUGUGUGUUUCUCUAGGAAGACCUCCUGUCUAUAUGGCAUGUGACAGCCAGCGAUCAGGGUUAGGGUGUAUAAUGUUCUUGUUGUUUACAGGAAGAUAUCCUGUCUAUAUGGAAUAAGACAGCCAGCGAUCAGGUGACGACAUCUAGAAUCCGAGACACUCUUCGACGCGUCCUGAACCUCCCUCCCAACACCAUCAUGGAGUACAAGACACACAACGACAGCCUCAAGGAUAAUUCCAGCUUCCGCAACACAAAGAUCACCCUGUGAAGCGAUGGAGGACAGAAGGAGGGAGAGACAGAAGAGCGGAGGAGAGAGGGCGAGACUCUGCCUCGGUCUCUCUCUCACUCAGAGAUUUUUCGGAGAUAGAGUAGUGUGUUUUUGCAGCUUGUCCCCGAGUUACAACAGGCCAGUGUGGGACCAACUGUGUGUUUUCUUCCAUGACAAUACAGAAAUAAAAGUGUCUUUGGUAA